rnacentral:rRNA from 1 species
UGGGGAAUAUUGGACAAUGGACCAAAAGCUCUGAUCCAGCRAUUCUGUGUGCACGAUGAAGGUCUUCGGAUUGUAAAGUGCUUUCAGAGUGGRAARAAGARAGUGACGGUACCACCAGAAGAAGCGACRGCUAAMUACSUGCCARCAGCCGCGGUAAUACGUAUGUCGCAAGCGUUAUCMGGAAUUAKUGGGMGUAAAKSGAGUCWAKGCGKSUUGUUAAGUCAGAUGUGAAARUGYGKKGMUCAACUMCGUAUUGCGUUUGAAACUGGCAGGAUAGAGUACUGGAGAGGUGGGCGGAACUACAAGUGUAGAGGUGAAAUUGGUAUAUAUUUGUAGGAAUGCCGAUAGUGAAGCCAUCUCACUGGACAGAUACUGACGCUAAAGCUAGAAAGCGUGGGGAGCAAACAGGAUUAGAUACCUUGUUAGUCCACGCCGUAAACUAUGUUCACUGGGUGUAGGGGGUCGAACCUCUGUGCCGAAGCUAACGCGAUAAGUAACCGC